GUUUUGAAUGUGGUUUGUUUGGUGACUUAGUCACUUGAAAAUGGUUAAGUCUAGGGACUUUGAAGGGAAUUUUGUGUUUUAAAUGUGGUUUUGUUUUGAUACUUAGUUGGUUGAAAAUGGUUAAGUGUAGGGACUUUAAAGGGAAUUUUUUUGUUUUGAAUGUGGUUUGGUAAGUGACGUAGUUGGUUGAAAAUGGUUAAGUGGAGGGACUCUAAAUGAGAUUUUUUUGUUUUGAAUGUGGCUUGGUAGGUAACUUAGUUGCUUGAAAAUGGAUAAAUUUAGGGACUUUAAAGGAGGAUUUUUUGUU
rnacentral:lncRNA from 1 species